rnacentral:tRNA from 1 species
GCGGUGGUGGUUCAGCGGUAGAAUUCUCGCCUUCCAUGUGAAGACCCGGGUUUGAUUCCCAGCUAACGCA